rnacentral:rRNA from 1 species
UGGGGAAUAUUGGGCAAUGGGCGCAAGCCUGACCCAGCAAUGCCGCGUGAAGGAAGAAGGCCUCGGGUUGUAAACUUCUUUUAUCAGGGACGAAGGAUGUGACGGUACCUGAUGAAUAAGCUCCGGCUAACUACGUGCC